GAUGAACGCUAGCUACAGGCUUAACACAUGCAAGUCGCGGGGCAGCAUGGGGGUUGCUUGCAAUCCCCGAUGGCGACCGGCGCACGGGUGAGUAACGCGUAUCCAACCUGCCCUUCACCACGGGAUAACCCGGCGAAAGUCGGACUAAUACCGUAUGUUGUCCAUUGACGGCAUCCGAUUUGGACGAAAGGUUUGGCGGUGAAGAAUGGGGAUGCGUCCGAUUAGCUGGACGGCGGGGUGACGGCCCACCGUGGCGACGAUCGGUAGGGGUUCUGAGAGGAAGGUCCCCCACACUGGAACUGAGACACGGUCCAGACUCCUACGGGAGGCAGCAGUGAGGAAUAUUGGUCAAUGGGCGUAAGCCUGAACCAGCCAAGUAGCGUGCAGGAUGACGGCCCUAUGGGUUGUAAACUGCUUUUAUGCGGGGAUAAAGUGGCCCACGUGUGGGUUUUUGCAGGUACCGCAUGAAUAAGGACCGGCUAAUUCCGUG
rnacentral:rRNA from 1 species